GACGAACGCUGGCGGCGUGCUUAACACAUGCAAGUCGAACGGAAAGGCCCUGCUUUUGUGGGGUGCUCGAGUGGCGAACGGGUGAGUAACACGUGAGUAACCUGCCCUUGACUUUGGGAUAACUUCAGGAAACUGGGGCUAAUACCGGAUAGGAGCUCCUGCUGCAUGGUGGGGGUUGGAAAGUUUCGGCGGUUGGGGAUGGACUGGCGGCUUAUCAGCUUGUUGGUGGGGUAGUGGCUUACCAAGGCUUUGACGGGUAGCCGGCCUGAGAGGGUGACCGGCCACAUUGGGACUGGAAUACGGCCCGGGCUCCUACGGGAGGCAGCAGUGGGGAAUAUUGCACAAUGGGCGGAAGCCUGAUGCAGCAACGCCGCGUGCGGGAUGACGGCCUUCGGGUUGUAACCCGCUUUCGCCUGUGACGAAGCGUGAGUGACGGUAAUGGGUAAAGAAGCACCGGCUAACUACGUG
rnacentral:rRNA from 1 species